AAGAACCUGAGAAACACACAGGCAGUGCUAAAGGAUACCCAGAUACACUUGGAUGAUGCUCUCAGGGCACAGGAGGACCUGAAGGAGCAGGUGGCCAUGGUGGAGCGCAGAGCAAACCUGUUGCAGGCUGAAGUUGAGGAGCUACGGGCAGCCCUGGAGCAGACGGAGCGGUCGAGGAAAGUGGCUGAGCAGGAACUGAUGGAUGCAAGUGAGAGAGUUCAGCUCCUCCACUCUCAGAACACCAGCUUGAUCAACACC